GAGCACGUAGGUGGGUUUGUAAGUCAGGUGUGAAAGCCUUCUGUUCAACGGAAGAAUUGCAUCUGAAACUGCGAGUCUUGAGUGUAGGAGGGGAGAAUGGAACUUCUGGUGGAGCGGUGAAAUGCGUAGAUAUCAGAAGGAACGCCGGCGGCGAAAGCGAUUCUCUGGCCUAUUACUGACACUCAGUGUGCGAAAGCUAGGGGAGCAAACGGGAUUAGAUACCCCGGUAGUCCUAGCCGUAAACGAUGGGCACUAAGUAGAGGGAAUUACCGAUGUUCUCUCUGCCGUAGCUAACGCAUUAAGUGCCCCGCCUGGGGAGUACGGCCGCAAGGCUAAAACUCAAAAGAAUUGACGGGGGCUCGCACAAGCGGUGGAGCAUGUGGCUUAAUUCGAUGCAACGCGAAAAACCUUACCGGGGCUUGACAUGGUAGAAGUAGGAACCCGAAAGGGUAACGAACGGUAUCCAGUCCGUAGCUAUCACAGGUGUUGCAUGGCUGUCGUCAGCUCGUGUCGUGAGACGUUGGGUUAAGUCCCCUAACGAGCGAAACCCUUGUUUUUAGUUACCAGCGGGUUAUGCCGGGUACUCUAGAAAGACUGCCGUCGUCAAGACGGAGGAAGGUGGGGAUGACGUCAAGUCAUCAUGGCCCUUAUGCCCCGGGCUGCACACGUGCUACAAUGGUCGGUACAAACGGAUGCGAAGCCGAGAGGUGAAGCGAAUCC
rnacentral:rRNA from 1 species